AUUGAACGCUGGCGGCAGGCUUAACACAUGCAAGUCGAGCGGGGACUUCGGUCCUAGCGGCGAACGGGUGAGGAAUGCUUGGGAAUCUGCCCAGUAGCGGGGGAUAACGUUUCGAAAGGAACGCUAAUACCGCAUACGCCCUACGGGGGAAAGGGGGGGAUCUUCGGACCUCUCACUAUUGGAUGAGCCCAAGUCGGAUUAGCUAGUUGGUGGGGUAAAGGCCUACCAAGGCGACGAUCCGUAGCUGGUCUGAGAGGAUGAUCAGCCACACUGGAACUGAGACACGGUCCAGACUCCUACGUGAGGCAGCAUUGGGGAAUAUUGGACAAUGGACGAAAGCCUGAUCCAGCCAUGCCGCUUGUGUGAAGAAGGCCUUCGGGUUGUAAAGCACUUUAAGCGAGGAGGAAUGGCUCUUGGUUAAUAACCUUGAGCAGUGACGUUACUCGCAGAAUAAGCACCGGCUAACUCUGUGCCAGCAGCCGCCGUAACAC
rnacentral:rRNA from 1 species